rnacentral:misc_RNA from 1 species
UGAGUUGAGUUGAGUUGAGUUAUGACUGGUUCCAUAUCCAGUCAAGAACAGUUUUGAAACACUGUUACUGAACUGGCAAUGGCAUGGUCCCUGGGGAUUGAUUUUGUGGACAAAAAUAAAUAAAGAAAAAUGAAUAACAAAUGUUCCAUUAAAUUCAAUGGAAAAUGGUCUUUUAGAGCUUCUGUGUUUCCUAUGAAAUUUUCUAUUUUGAUCAUGGGUAUACCUUGUUUGUUUCUUGAUCAGAAAGGCCAUGGAAACUUUUAUGAGUCUAUUAUUCUUUAUGAAUAUAUUUCUUUUACAGUUAAGGAUGGUCUUACCUCCCUCCCUUUCCCUCUUCCCCUUGGUUUCCCUGGAAAACCUCUCCCUGUAACCAAUUUUCAAACAGAAGAUUGAGCCAUCAAAAAGUAACAAAGGAGACUGGGG